UCAAGUGAGGGAAAAUUUAUUAUGAAAGAUGAGAGGGUUAAAAUAUAACUCUUAGAUUAAUUUUCUCUCACUUAUGCCCUGGGCGACACACGUGCUAUAAUGGACAGGACAAAGGAUCGCGAUCCCACGAGGGUGAACUAACUCUAAAAACCCGUCCUCAGAUCGGAUUAUAGGCUGCAACUCGCCUGCAUGAAGCUGGAAUCGCUAGUAAUCAUCGGUCAGCCAUACGGCAAUGAAUUUGUUCC
rnacentral:ncRNA from 1 species